GAAGAAACGAGGGAGGAGGUGAAGAGAGGCGGGGCACAGAAGCCAUAUCACAAACACUAAAGGUUUUAAUUUGAAAUGAUUACAUGAAGUGCUAAGUUUGUGUUGCAGCGUCCUGAGGUGGCCUACAAUCAAGAAAGCAGACUGCUGGGCAGUAGAGCUGAUAUGAGGGAUCCUUGGGUCGUUCAUUACUUGGAUAUUAGCAUGAGCUGACACUGUAAAGUGGAUAAAACAACAGAACACCGUGAGCUUGUUGAGUACAAGGCGAAUGUUGGCGAGACGCUGGAGAGGAUGGGACGAGGCAGCAGUCUUAACCCCUUGGAGGAUGGCAUGUGCCACAGAAUCAGGGUCCAAUCCACCAGAUCCUGGACAACCAGUCAAACAAAACUCCAUAAAUAACUUUGAUGUUUUAUGCAUCUUUAAUGACUCCCACACUACUCACCAGCACAGAUGGCAGGAACAGCCAAAGACUUGUAACCAGAAGACUCACAAAGUUGAAUGAUGCGACGAAGCAGCUGCUCGAUGACGGCUGUAUCUCUUUCUCCACACAUGUGUAAAAUGGCUUUACAAGGGAACAUGCCAGGCGGUGUUUCCAAAAUCUCUCCACUGUUCACUUUUCCUGCAUGGAUGCGAUAAAGACAACAUGAGAUGAUAUGAUUUGUUAGAAAUGAUUUAUGAUGUAAAUACAAAUUUGGAAAUAUG